UACGAAGGGGGCUAGCGUUGCUCGGAAUCACUGGGCGUAAAGCGCACGUAGGCGGAUUGCUAAGUCAGGGGUGAAAUCCUGGAGCUCAACUCCAGAACUGCCUUUGAUACUGGCGACCUUGAGUCCGGGAGAGGUGAGUGGAACUGCGAGUGUAGAGGUGAAAUUCGUAGAUAUUCGCAAGAACACCAGUGGCGAAGGCGGCUCACUGGCCCGAUACUGACGCUGAGGCACGAAAGCGUGGGGAGCAAACAGGG
rnacentral:rRNA from 1 species